GACGAACGCUGGCGGCGUGCUUAACACAUGCAAGUCGAACGAAGUGGCGAACGGGUGAGUAACGCGUAAUCAACCUGCCCUUCAGAGGGGGACAACAGUUGGAAACGACUGCUAAUACCGCAUACUCAAGGAGGGGAUUGCGGCUGAGUGGGUAGUUGGAGGGGGAACGGCCCACCAAGGCGAUGAUCAGUAGCCGGUCGGAAGGGGUGAACGGCCGCAUUGGGACUGGGACACGGCCCAGGAUCCGUCGGGAGGCAGCAGGGGGGAAUCUUCCGAAAUGGACGAAAGUCUGACGGAGCAACGCCGCGUGAGUGAUGACGGCCUUCGGGUUGUAAAGCUCUGUUAAUCGGGACGCGGUACCGGAAGAGAAAGCCACGGCUAACUACGUGCCAGCAGCCGCGGUAAUAC
rnacentral:rRNA from 1 species